GCGGGAGUAACUCAGUGGUAGAGUGCAACCUUGCCAAGGUUGAAGUCGCCGGUUCAAAUCCGGUCUCCCGCUCUA
rnacentral:tRNA from 2 species